GAAGUGAGUGGCGAACGGGUGAGUAACACGUGGGUAACCUGCCCAGAAGUAGGGGAUAACACCUGGAAACAGAUGCUAAUACCGUAUAACAGAGAAAACCGCAUGGUUUUCUUUUAAAAGAUGGCUCUGCUAUCACUUCUGGAUGGACCCGCGGCGUAUUAGCUAGUUGGUGAGGUAAAGGCUCACCAAGGCAGUGAUACGUAGCCGACCUGAGAGGGUAAUCGGCCACAUUGGGACUGAGACACGGCCCAGACUCCUACGGGAGGCAGCAGUAGGGAAUCUUCCACAAUGGACGCAAGUCUGAUGGAGCAACGCCGCGUGAGUGAAGAAGGGUUUCGGCUCGUAAAGCUCUGUUGUUAAAGAAGAACGUGGGUAAGAGUAACUGUUUACCCAGUGACGGUAUUUAACCAGAAAGCCACGGCUAACUACGUGCCAGCAGCCGCGGUAAUACGUAGGUGGCAAGCGUUAUCCGGAUUUAUUGGGCGUAAAGCGAGCGCAGGCGGUCUUUUAAGUCUAAUGUGAAAGCCUUCGGCUCAACCGAAGAAGUGCAUUGGAAACUGGGAGACUUGAGUGCAGAAGAGGACAGUGGAACUCCAUGUGUAGCGGUGAAAUGCGUAGAUAUAUGGAAGAACACCAGUGGCGAAGGCGGCUGUCUGGUCUGCAACUGACGCUGAGGCUCGAAAGCAUGGGUAGCGAACAGGAUUAGAUACCCUGGUAGUCCAUGCCGUAAACGAUGAUUACUAAGUGUUGGAGGGUUUCCGCCCUUCAGUGCUGCAGCUAACGCAUUAAGUAAUCCGCCUGGGGAGUACGACCGCAAGGUUGAAACUCAAAAGAAUUGACGGGGGCCCGCACAAGCGGUGGAGCAUGUGGUUUAAUUCGAAGCUACGCGAAGAACCUUACCAGGUCUUGACAUCUUCUGACAGUCUAAGAGAUUAGAGGUUCCCUUCGGGGACAGAAUGACAGGUGGUGCAUGGUGUCGUCAGCU
rnacentral:rRNA from 1 species